GACGAACGCUGGCGGCGUGCUUAACACAUGCAAGUCGAGCGGUAAGGCACCUUCGGGUGUACACGAGCGGCGAACGGGUGAGUAACACGUGAGUAACCUGCCCUUCUCAUCGGAAUAAGCGUUGGAAACGACGUCUAAUGCCGAAUACGACUUCGGACCGCAUGGUCUGAAGUGGAAAGCUCCGGCGGAGAAGGAUGGACUCGCGGCCUAUCAGCUUGUUGGUGAGGUAACGGCUCACCAAGGCGACGACGGGUAGCCGGCCUGAGAGGGUGAGCGGCCACACUGGGACUGAGACACGGCCCAGACUCCUACGGGAGGCAGCAGUGGGGAAUAUUGGACAAUGGGCGCAAGCCUGAUCCAGCAACGCCGCGUGAGGGAUGACGGCCUUCGGGUUGUAAACCUCUUUCAGCAGGGACGAAGCGAAAGUGACGGUACCUGCAGAAGAAGGACCGGCCAACUACGUGCCAGCCGCCGCAGUAAUAC
rnacentral:rRNA from 1 species